CAAUCGAAAUGCAUUUGAAUUGAGUGUGUGUGUGUGUGUGUGUGUGUGAGAGUGCGUGCGUGUGCGAGGGUGUUUGCAAGUGCUCCAUAAUGCAAAAAGGUAGUAAAAAAAAAGGGUAAAACCAAAAAAAAAAAAAGUAUAAAAUGGGCAGAGCACUUGCCACCACACAAAAAGAUUUACACGACACUUAAGCCAAAAAAAAAAACGGACGCACGCCACGCGCUGCUACUAAAAAGAAGGAAGAACUUGCGGAGCGAGCAGAGGUGAGCGCGACGUCAUGGCUGAGAGCAGCGGCAGCGGCAGCAACAAUAACAAGCGCGUUAAGGCCGCGCGGUAGAGGAGACGAGUAAGCAUCAAGCCAAGGCAGCAGCCGCAGCGGCAGCGGCAACAACAAGAACGCACAAUGUGCCAAUUGGACAAACGUCGAGCAGCUGUACAAUCCAAUUGGCAUGCUCGAAAACAGGCAGGAAAGUGGUUAAAAUAAAAAGAAGCAAAACGCAAGGCAUAUACAAAUAUGCAGCGAAAUGUUCGCGCAUUUGGCAAAAAAUCAAUUUUCCGUGUGAUUGCCAAAUGCAAUUGCUGCCACAGGCCGCAAGAGUGGGGCGCAACAACACACUCACACACACACACAAACACAUGAGGACACACAUGACAAAAAAAAAAACAAAAAGAAAAGAAAAAAGCGAAACGAAGAAAACUCCUUGGGUGUCCCUGGACAGAC
rnacentral:misc_RNA from 1 species